rnacentral:rRNA from 1 species
CAAUAGCGUAUAUUAAAGUUGUUGCGGUUAAAAAGCUCGUAGUUGGAUCUCGGCAGGCAGGGGGUGGUUCGCUCUUAGCGCUACUGCCCCAUUUGCCUGUGUGAUUGGCGGAGGUUUCGGGGUGCUCUUCGUUGAGUGACCCGGGGCGCCGUCAGGUUUACUUUGAAAAAAUUAGAGUGCUCAAAGCAGGCUUUUCACGCUUGAAUAUUCGUGCAUGGAAUAAUGGAAUAGGAACUCGUUUCUAUUUUGUUGGUUUUCGGAAAUCGAGUUAAUGAUUAAUAGGGACAAUUGGGGGCAUUAGUAUUCAGACGACAGAGGUGAAAUUCUUGGACCGUCUGAAGACUAACUACUGCGAAAGCAUUUGGCAAGAGUGUUUUCAUUAA